GGUGGAUUUUCUCCUCUGAUGCCGUCUGGCCCAGGAGGACAUCAUCCUCCGCCCUGGAGGGCCCAUGAGAUGCUCAGGGCCACAUCAGUACAUUUCUAUGCAGCUCCAGAUAGGUACAACCCACAGAGUACAAUUACUGACCUGAAACAUUUCAUCUCUCAGGGAUGUGAUAUUUUCCCCUCCAGUAAUGAUCAACUUUUAAGAAAGACAUU
rnacentral:lncRNA from 1 species